GUAACCGGCGGGGGGGCGGGGGGGGCGGCCGUUGCCAAGGACGGGACUCCUCGGUGCUUUCCCUCAGCGGCCAUCACCCCCUGUGCCCGCCGCGCUGCGAUCCUGACCUUUCCCGCUGGCCGCUGCCGGCCCUUCUCCCUCCCUCCCUCCCUCCCUCAGUGUGGUAUGCGUAAUGGAGAUGCAGAAACCAUGUAGCAGAAAGCUUUGAGCAGUUGUGGAUUAUCAGUUUCUCCCAACAGCAACAAAAAGUGAAGAAUGAAGGCGACUGGAUUUAUUUCCCUAUGGACGUUGGUUUCACUGCCAUGUGGCCAGUUAGCCAAUCCUGCAGAACGUGAAGAUGUAGUAAAGCAUGCAAUAAAGCUGCACCGUGGGAAAGGAGCUGUUAUCACUCAGAGAAAGCAGUGGGUGUUGGAGAGCUGCAGAAAACUCUCUGGUCUUCUUCGCCAAAAGAAUGUUGUUCUCAACAAACUAAAAAGUGCUAUAAGAGCAGUUGAGAAGGAUGCAGGACUGUCAGACGAAGAGAAACUUUUUCAGGUGCAUACCUUUGAAAUUUUCCAAAAGGAGCUAAAUGAAAGUGAAAACUCAGUCUUUCAAGCAAUCCAUGGCCUUCAGAGAGCUCUACAGGGUGAUUACAAAGAUGUUGUAAAUAUGAAAGAAAGCAGCAGGCAGAGACUGGAAGCCUUGAGAGAAGCUGCAAUUAAGGAAGAAAUGGAAUAUGUCGAACUCUUAGCAGCAGAAAAACAUCAGGUUGAAGCCCUUAAGAACAUGCAGCAUCAAAACAAAAGCCUGUCAAUGCUUGAUGAAAUUCUGGAAGAUGUGAGAAAAGCAGCUGAUAGAUUGGAAGAAGAAAUAGAAGAGCAUGCCUUUGAUGACAACAAAUCUGUAAGAGGUGUAAACUUUGAAGCAGUUUUGCGGGUGGAAGAAGAUGAGGCUAACUCCAAAAGAAAUGCUUCAAAAAGAGAAGUAGAGGAUGACUUAGGUCUUAGUAUGCUUAUUGAUUCCCAGAACAAUCAGUAUAUCCUUACCAAGCCCAGAGAUUCAACCAUUCCUCGUGCUGAUCAUCAUUUCAUAAAGGAUAUUGUGACAAUAGGAAUGUUGUCUUUGCCAUGUGGCUGGCUGUGCACAACAAUAGGAUUGCCAACCAUGUUUGGGUAUAUCAUCUGUGGAGUACUCUUAGGACCAUCAGGACUAAAUAGUAUCAAAUCUAUUGUACAGGUGGAGACAUUAGGAGAGUUUGGGGUAUUCUUCACUCUCUUUCUAGUUGGUCUGGAAUUUUCUCCUGAAAGAUUAAGAAAGGUCUGGAAAAUAUCAUUGCAAGGACCAUGCUACAUGACGGUUCUGAUGAUUGCCUUUGGUUUACUGUGGGGACACUUGCUCCAGAUUAGACCAACACAAAGUGUCUUCAUUUCUACUUGUUUAUCUUUAUCAAGCACGCCAUUGGUGUCAAGAUUUCUUGCAGGUAGUGUUCGAGGUGAUAAAGAAGGGGAUAUUGACUACAGCAGCGUACUACUUGGCAUGUUGGUGAUGCAGGAUGUGCAGCUUGGUUUAUUUAUAGCUGUCAUGCCUACACUUAUUCAAGCAGGAGUGAGCACAUAUUCCAGCAUUUUCAAGGAAAUACUGAGAAUACUGAUACUGAUUGGCCAAAUUCUCUUUUCUCUGGCUGCUGUUUUUCUUAUAUGUCUUGUUAUAAAGACUUAUCUCAUAGGACCGUAUUAUCGCAAGUUGCAUGCAGAAAGCAAAGGGAAUAAAGAAAUCCUCAUUCUAGGAAUAACUGCAUUCAUCUUCCUUAUGUUAACGAUCACAGAGCUGUUGGAUGUUUCAAUGGAGCUGGGAUGCUUCUUAGCUGGAGCUCUGAUCUCUUCUCAGGGUCACAUGGUUACCGAGGAGAUUAUGUCCUGUAUUGAACCAAUACGUGACUUUCUUGCCAUCAUUUUCUUUGCAUCCAUAGAUGCUUACCUCCACGGGAUUGGUAGAGAAAUCUGUGGUAGUUUGUGCCUCAGCUCUUUGGAAUAUGGUAACCGUCUCCACAUCGGGCAGCAGUUCAAACAGACUUCUGAGUGCCUGUCUGCUUCAGAACUGAAAAGGUAGCUCCACCAGUAGUGAUGACAGCACUAGGCUGUAUUUAUAGCCUCCCUCUGAAAUCUUCAAUUCCAGAUGUGGCAGAGUUGGCCCUCUUAUCAAACAUGACUUUGUUACAGACUGUAUUUCUCUGUUUGCUUUUGUGUGCUUCUGAGACUGGCCUAAAGGUGAAUGGGGAAUGUGCACGAUACACAGUAGAAAAAGAGAAGUUACUGUCCCUCCACGUGCACGUGUGCACACAUUUGGAUUUUGUGUGUGUGUGUGUGUGUGUGGUAUUUUUUUCUCUUAUUCUGCCAUCUCUCCCCUUACUCUGAUAGUCUUUUGCAUUUGCGCUUCAGUAGUUAGAAGGAAAAUGAGCACUAAAACAGGGUGUGUACAUGCUGACUGGGUAGUACUUGUCUAAAAAUCUCUGAUGUACUUGAAGUACAUUUCCAUCCACAAUGGAAUGUGUGUACGGACAAACCAUUGUGAAGUUACUGUAAGUAACUUCUCUUGCGUGCUCAGGAAGAGAAGAUGACUCUUAGUUCUCUACAGUUUUUCUGGCUCUGCAGCACUAUGGGGCAGGGAAAAUUAGUGAAAACUGGUCUUGCGUUAAAAUAAGAAGUUAUACCAUCAGUUUACAUGUGUCGUACUUUAGAAAGCUAAACUCUUGCCCUUCACCAGAAGUAAUUGGGUUGGAGAACUGCCAACUAUUACGGAUUUACCAGGAACACCACCACUAUUUUGGUUACUUGUUUUAAGAGCUUUUAUGAAAAAGGACUGAGACUUCCAAAGAUACACCGUUAUGUAUGCCUGCAUGAGUUCCUCAUACCCUAGGAUGGAAAAGUGGACUUAGCUGUGAGUAAGAUUCUUCCUCAGUGACUCCAGGACUUCACCAACAAAUACUUCUUUUAAUACGUUUAAUAUUAGCAGGAUUUAGUUUUAAACUUCUGUGCUCUUUAUGGUUCUCGUUAUCUUGCUUCAUAUAAUUACAGAAUUAAAAUUAGAAAAAAAAUUCAAAAAACAAGAAAAAAAAAGACAUCUCCUGUCCCCCCCAAAAACCAACGCAACCCAACAUCAUAGCAAUGGGGCUUUAUAUAAUUCCUUAAUUACAUAAAUGAUAUAACUAUUUGUAUAUAAUUUUAUAUUUAUAUAUAAUUAUAUAAAAAACUACCGUGUUUAGACUGGAAUCAGGUGAAGUCAUAAACCCCUAAGUGACUUUUCCAAUUCAGGUGACUUUGAGUGUUUGCAAGUGAGGGUCAUAGGAUCAAAGCAGUUACAUUUUCUGUUGUAGCUACAGUCUGUGCAAGUACUGAGUAUCAUGUUCCUCCCACAGUCAUAGUCCAUUACCAUGUCAUACAAAAAUGUUAAAUGGCUAGCAAAGUGUAUGUUACAGUCACUGUGCAGAACAAUGGAAUUGUUUUCCUGCAGUAUUUUUAUAGCUUUCAUUAGAGGUGUGUUUGAGUUCAGAUUCUGGUUUGUUGACUGGUGUGGAAGGGAGAAAACUUUAUAAACGAAACUGCUCAUUCAACAGUUGCAUACAAUUUAACUCAGUUUGGGAAUACUGCUUGUGCUAAACCCCUCCAAAGGAAAAAUGGUUGGAUAAUGCAGGAAGUGCGUCAGUGAUCAAGUAAGUAGUGGUGGUAGGUAUGUUAGGGCUUUUUGUCUGCCUGUUUUUGAGCAUACUGUCUUGCAAUUAAAUCUAUUAAUAACUCAGAAAAUUAUCCGAGUAAGAUAUUGGGCUUAAACUUUGAAAUAUUGUUUUCUUUCCUCCUAGGACUUCAUGUUUUCCCCACGUUUGUAAUAUAUGAACUCACAGUCUUACUAUUCCUUACACUGUCUGUGGUCAUAAUGAAGUUUGUCUUGGCAGUGCUUGUCCUUUCUCUGAUUCUUCCAAAGAC